UAAAAGUAUUAGGGCUCAUAGGAAAAAAAU
rnacentral:piRNA from 1 species